rnacentral:rRNA from 1 species
GGCGAACGGGUGAGUAACACGUGGGCAAUCUGCCCUUCACUCUGGGACAAGCCCUGGAAACGGGGUCUAAUACCGGAUAACACUCCCACUCUCCUGAGUGGGGGUUAAAAGCUCCGGCGGUGAAGGAUGAGCCCGCGGCCUAUCAGCUUGUUGGUGAGGUAAUGGCUCACCAAGGCGACGACGGGUAGCCGGCCUGAGAGGGCGACCGGCCACACUGGGACUGAGACACGGCCCAGACUCCUACGGGAGGCAGCAGUGGGGAAUAUUGCACAAUGGGCGAAAGCCUGAUGCAGCGACGCCGCGUGAGGGAUGACGGCCUUCGGGUUGUAAACCUCUUUCAGCAGGGAAGAAGCGAAAGUGACGGUACCUGCAGAAGAAGCGCCGGCUAACUACGUGCCAGCAGCCGCGGUAAUACGUAGGGCGCAAGCGUUGUCCGGAAUUAUUGGGCGUAAAGAGCUCGUAGGCGGCUUGUCACGUCGGGUGUGAAAGCCCGGGGCUUAACCCCGGGUCUGCAUUCGAUACGGGCUAGCUAGAGUGUGGUAGGGGAGAUCGGAAUUCCUGGUGUAGCGGUGAAAUGCGCAGAUAUCAGGAGGAACACCGGUGGCGAAGGCGGAUCUCUGGGCCAUUACUGACGCUGAGGAGCGAAAGCGUGGGGAGCGAACAGGAUUAGAUACCCUGGUAGUCCACGCCGUAAACGGUGGGAACU